UCAGGACGAACGCUGGCGGCGUGCUUAACACAUGCAAGUCGAACGAAGCGGCAGUGAAGGAGGCUUCGGCCAAUGGAUCUGUCGACUUAGUGGCGGACGGGUGAGUAACGCGUGAGCAACCUGCCUUUCAGAGGGGGAUAACGUUUGGAAACGAACGCUAAUACCGCAUGAUAUAGUUUUAUCGCAUGGUAGAGCUAUCAAAGGAGCGAUCCGCUGAAAGAUGGGCUCGCGUCCGAUUAGAUAGUUGGUGGGGUAACGGCCUACCAAGUCGACGAUCGGUAGCCGGACUGAGAGGUUGAACGGCCACAUUGGGACUGAGACACGGCCCAGACUCCUACGGGAGGCAGCAGUGGGGAAUAUUGCACAAUGGGCGCAAGCCCUGAUGCAGCAACGCCGCGUGAGGGAAGACGGUUUUCGGAUUGUAAACCUCUGUCCUUGGUGACGAAGAAUGACGGUAGCCGAGGAGGAAGCCACGGCUAACUACGUGCCAGCCGCCGC
rnacentral:rRNA from 1 species